rnacentral:rRNA from 1 species
CAGCCGCCGCGGUAAUACGAGGGGGGCAAGCGUUGUUCGGAAUUAUUGGGCGUAAAGGGUGCGUGGGCGGUUUGACAAGUUCUAUGUGAAAUCUAUGGGCUCAACCCAUAGUCUGCAUGGAAAACUGUCGGGCUUGAGUACGGUAGGGGCAGAGGGAAUUUCCAGUGGAGCGGUGAAAUGCGUUGAGAUCGAAAAGAACACCAACAGCGAAAGCACUCUGCUGGGACGACACUGACACUAAGAGACGAAAGCUAGGGGAGCAAAUGGGAUUAGAUACCCCCGUAGUCCCUGUCUCUUAUAA